CUGUGAUGUGUAUCACAUAAAAAUAAAGAUAUGACUGGAGCUAGCCAUGAAACUGAUUAACAAAGUUAUCGCAAUGUUCGAAAAAAUGAAUGUCUCAUUCGGUACUAUUAACGGUUAAUUAUUUCGUUAUUAAUAUAUUAGUCUUCAUAAUAUUCUGGACGAAACUCGGUUCAUAGGUGAUGGUUCUGAGCUUAUUGCAGACAGACCAUAAAGUAACAAUGCACUGUGCAUGACCUGUUUCUCGUGUUUGUUUUUAUCAGAUGAUAUUUCGCCUGUUGAGCGCGUGAUCCUGAAUAUUAACUCUA
rnacentral:ncRNA from 1 species